UUAGAGUUUGAUCCUGGCUCAGGACGAACGCUGGCGGCGCGCCUAACACAUGCAAGUCGAACGAGCGAGAGAGAGCUUGCUUUCUCAAGCGAGUGGCGAACGGGUGAGUAACGCGUGAGGAACCUGCCUCAAAGAGGGGGACAACAGUUGGAAACGACUGCUAAUACCGCAUAAGCCCACAGCUCGGCAUCGAGCAGAGGGAAAAGGAGUGAUCCGCUUUGAGAUGGCCUCGCGUCCGAUUAGCUAGUUGGUGAGGUAACGGCCCACCAAGGCGACGAUCGGUAGCCGGACUGAGAGGUUGAACGGCCACAUUGGGACUGAGACACGGCCCAGACUCCUACGGGAGGCAGCAGUGGGGAAUAUUGCACAAUGGGGGAAACCCUGAUGCAGCGACGCCGCGUGGAGGAAGAAGGUCUUCGGAUUGUAAACUCCUGUUGUUGAGGAAGAUAAUGACGGUACUCAACAAGGAAGUGACGGCUAACUACGUGCCAGCAGCCGCGGUAAAACGUAGGUCACAAGCGUUGUCCGGAAUUACUGGGUGUAAAGGGAGCGCAGGCGGGAAAGCAAGUUGGAAGUGAAAUCCAUGGGCUCAACCCAUGAACUGCUUUCAAAACUGUUUUUCUUGAGUAGUGCAGAGUAGGCGGAAUUCCCGGUGUAGCGGUGGAAUGCGUAGAUAUCGGGAGGAACACCAGUGGCGAAGGCGGCCUACUGGGCACCAACUGACGCUGAGGCUCGAAAGUGUGGGUAGCAAACAGGAUUAGAUACCCUGGUAGUCCACACUGUAAACGAUGAUUACUAGGUGUUGGAGGAUUGACCCCUUCAGUACCGCAGUUAACACAAUAAGUAAUCCACCUGGGGAGUACGACCGCAAGGUUGAAACUCAAAGGAAUUGACGGGGGCCCGCACAAGCAGUGGAGUAUGUGGUUUAAUUCGACGCAACGCGAAGAACCUUACCAAGUCUUGACAUCCUGCGACGGUGCUGGAAACAGUACUUUCCUUCGGGACGCAGAGACAGGUGGUGCAUGGUUGUCGUCAGCUCGUGUCGUGAGAUGUUGGGUUAAGUCCCGCAACGAGCGCAACCCUUAUGGUCAGUUACUACGCAAGAGGACUCUGGCCAGACUGCCGUUGACAAAACGGAGGAAGGUGGGGAUGACGUCAAAUCAUCAUGCCCUUUAUGACUUGGGCUACACACGUACUACAAUGGCGUUAAACAAAGAGAAGCGAGACCGCGAGGUGGAGCAAAACUCAGAAACAACGUCCCAGUUCGGACUGCAGGCUGCAACUCGCCUGCGCGAAGUCGGAAUUGCUAGUAAUCGCAGAUCGGCAUGCUGCGGUGAAUACGUUCCNCGGGCCUUGUACACACCGCCCGUC
rnacentral:rRNA from 1 species